UACGUAGGGGGCAAGCGUUGUCCGGAAUCAUUGGGCGUAAAGCGCGUGUAGGCGGCCAUCCAAGUCUGGUGUGAAAGCUCGGGGCUCAACCCCGAGUCUGCACUGGAAACUGAAUGGCUUGAGUCCGGAAGAGGAGACUGGAAUUCCUGGUGUAGCGGUGAAAUGCGCAGAUAUCAGGAAGAACACCGGUGGCGAAGGCGGGUCUCUGGGACGGUACUGACGCUGAGACGCGAAAGCGUGGGGAGCAAACAGG
rnacentral:rRNA from 1 species